UGAUUUGGCCCCAUACUAAUACAAUGAACAUGUUUUCACUAUUAUUUGAUUUCUUUGUGCAACUGACAUCAUUAUUCAAGCAUUCAGAAGGCUAUUCCUACCUCCACUCAACUCCAAACAGUAAUGACUAUAAAAACAGACAUCUUCAAGUCAAGAAGACAA